AAAAGAAGAUCAAGAAGGGCUUCAGAAUGAAGCUUUCUUGAUGGAGGGGAGCGGCAGACGGGUGAGUAACACGUGGGAACAUACCCUUUACUACGGAACAACUCCGGGAAACUGGAGCUAAUACCGUAUGUGCCCUUCGGGGGAAAGAUUUAUCGGUAAAGGAUUGGCCCGCGUUGGAUUAGCUAGUUGGGGGGGUAAAGGCCUACCAAGGCGACGAUCCAUAGCUGGUCUGAGAGGAUGAUCAGCUACAUUGGGACUGAGACACGGCCCAAACUCCUACGGGAGGCAGCAGUGGGGAAUAUUGGACAAUGGGCGCAAGCCUGAUCCAGCCAUGCCGCGUGAGUGAUGAAGGCCUUAGGGUUGUAAAGCUCUUUCACCGAUGAAGAUAAUGACGGUAGUCGGAGAAGACGCCCCGGCUAACUUCGUGCCAGCAGCCGCCGUAAUAC
rnacentral:rRNA from 1 species